CCUACGGGUGGCAGCAGUGAGGAAUAUUGGUCAAUGGGCGAGAGCCUGAACCAGCCAAGUCGCGUGAGGGAGUACUGCCCUAUGGGUUGUAAACCUCUUUUGUCGGGGAGCAAAAGCCGGACCUGUCCGGCUGUGAGAGUACCCGAAGAAAAAACAUCGGCUAACUCCGUUCCAGCAGCCGCGGUAAUACGGAGGAUGCGAGCGUUAUCCGGAUUUAUUGGGUUUAAAGGGUGCGCAGGCGGAUUUUUAAGUCAGCGGUAAAAUCGUGGGGCUCAACCCCAUCCAGCCGUUGAAACUGGGGAUCUAGAGUGGGCGAGAGGUAUGCGGAAUGCGUGGUGUAGCGGUGAAAUGCAUAGAUAUCACGAAGAACCCCGAUUGCGAAGGCAGCAUACCGGUGCACAACUGACGCUCAGGCACGAAAGCGUGGGUAUCGAACAGGAUUAGAUACCCCAGUAGUC
rnacentral:rRNA from 1 species